UACUUUAUUCAAUCUUUUCUUUAUAGAAUGCAGGAUGACUGUGGUAUUUAGCUCUUAUAAGUAAUGCUACAAAGAACAACCUGUGUAUAUGUUUAAUUUUUUUCUUAUUAUUGGAAUGUGUCCUCAGUAAAUUCCUCAAAGAAGGCAGCUGAUAUCACAUUAUAUUCAUAGCAAUUAAAACUAGCACUCUAUUUUCAUUUUAGGAGACUUGAACACAGUGGCAGGGCUGGAAAAAGAACUGAGUAAUGCCAAAGAGGAACUUGAACUGAUGGCUAAAAAAGAAAGAGAAAGUCAGUUGGAACUUUCUUCUCUACAGCCCAUGAUGGCUGUGCAAGAAGAAGAGCUGCAGGUGAGGGAAGAAGAGCCACAGGUGGGGGAGGAAGAGCCGCAGGUGCAGGCUGCUGAUAUGGAGCCUCUGACCAGGAAAAUACAGAGUAAAGAAGACCUCAUAAAGGUCCUUCCAAAGUUUUUACAGACCAUUGGAAAUGUUCACAUCUCAGAUUACCUGUAGGGCAUCUUCAGACAGUAUUUGCACACAUUGAAUCCCUUGCCCGGUACUUAUCAAUAU